GAACUACCAUGGAGCCAUAGCGCGCGGUUACCUCGAGGAGCAGAGAGCCUCGUCGCAUGAGAGAGAUAGAGAGAGAGGAUCGGGUGCCGCUGCGUUUGGCUCAGUCGUGGGAGCUUCUACGUAGCUCCGAUGACGAAUUGUGUCCUUGCCUUGUGGGGCUGACAACCUGGUGAUCUGGGGAUCGAUUGAUGCGUCGGGCUGAGCUCACCAAAUUUCUCUGCCACCGCCUUCGCCGGCCCACUGCUCUACCCGAUCGCCGGUAACUAUCCCUCAACAGCGUUUGUAGUGGUCGGCUCUUCGUGUAUCACCAGUUAGUCUCGAGAAUAGGGCAUUUGUGCGCUGGAUUCUGGAGCUCUCCGCCGUGCGUUGAAGACCGCAAUGCUGCCGCGACACGUGGCCGGUCGUCCGCGUCGAAUCGCAGUGCAGCUACGAAUCACCUGAAGUUCAUCCUGUCACCUGGAUUCUCAAGUGCCAGGUCAAGAACAGGUACCACUGGAUGAGGCGCAUGGUGGAUGUUGCACUGUAUUCGAGAGAGGUCUAGAUCGUCGUCUCCCAGUUGACUUUCUAGCGCCAAGGAUGGAUUUUAGAUCCUGUUCUAUUUAUCUUUUAUUUUGUAAGACUUCCGCUAUGUAAUAAGUACUCUAAGGAUAUUAUGACAUUUAUCU
rnacentral:lncRNA from 7 species